CGUGGAGACAGGUGGUGCAUGGCUGUCGUCAGCUCGUGUCGUGAGAUGUUGGGUUAAGUCCCGCAACGAGCGCAACCCUCACCCCUAGUUGCCACCGGGUAAAGCCGAGCACUCGAGGGGAACUGCCAGCGUCAAGCUGGAGGAAGGCGGGGAUGACGUCAAGUCAUCAUGCCCCUUACGCCCUGGGCUACACACGUGCUACAAUGGCCAGUACAAAGGGACGCGAGACCGCGAGGUGGAGCUAAUCCCGAAAAACUGGCCUAAGUUCAGAUUGCAGUCUGCAACUCGACUGCAUGAAGGAGGGAUCGCUAGUAAUCGCGCAUCAGCCCGGCGCGGUGAAUACGUUCCCGGGCCUUGUACACACCGCCCGUCACACCACGAAAGCUGUCUGUACUCGAAGUCGCUGAG
rnacentral:rRNA from 1 species